CCUUCACCAGAGGAUACUCUUGCUAAAUUAUCCGUUUGCGACGCCAAUGCCUUCAGUUGUCCACCCAACAAUUCAGCUGUCUCGACCGAGUCGCAUCUGAUCGAACGGAAAGUUUCGAUAACGGGACUCGUGCGUUGAAUGGUUUUCCAUAACAAAUCAUGUUUAUCUCGGAGAAACCGAAGGCUUUUGAUCUUUUGAAACUUAAUCCGUGAGAAUAUGAGAGAGUAGGUGGAUUCCUCGUCGUCAAGAUAUAAUGAAAAAUACGUUAACAGCUCGUUAUACGAAGAAGAAGGAUAAUUAAGUAAGAUGACGACCUAUAAUCCAUAAGAUCGAGCUGAUGAACGAAUCAACCUCCAUCUUUGGAGAACGAACCUUCUUCUUAUCCUUCAUAUUAAUAAUACUAAAAAAAAAAAGGUAAAAAGAAAAAAGCAGAAAAUGAAGAGAAACAAAAUUUAUUAUCACGCAGAUCAAAGAUUAAAAAAAAAGAAAAUAAGAAAAAAAAAGAAAGGAAGAAAUGAAUAUGAUAAUAAAUGAGAUGAAAGUGUGAUAACGAAGUCAUAGCCGAGCGAAGGCCGAGGAAAAGCUACAUAAUCAGAUACGUGAAAAAAUAAUUAAUAUGAUAAAAGAAAAUAGAAAAAAAAUUAAAACCUGUAUGCAUGAACAUGGACUGGAUUGUUAGUGGCAGGAUUUGGUAAGAGCAAAGUCGCUGCUACGAUAUCUUCUCGUUGAACAGCAGCCAAUACAGCAUGACCUGGUACCAAAUGUUUUACAGCUGAUCUAGUAGAACCUCCAGGAUGAACAGUUUGAAUGAUCUUUAGGCCCUUGCUGCUCACCUGUCGACAAGAAUAAAAUCUUAAUCGAGAAACAUCGUUACCAGGCAUGUUAGAACGAUAAAAAUAACUUGUAAUCGAGAUGUCUAAUCAGUCGUUUGAUUGUAAUUACGAUAAAGAUAUAGCUCUCUGUGGUAUAUCAAUAGACAUGCGUACGUUCAAAUGUUAUUUUCUAGGAUGAAACAGGUGUCUCUCGUCAGAUGUUUGAUUAUUAUUAUAAUCAAAAUAUAAUCUAUACAGGAUGGCAUUUAAAUAAGAAUGAUUCAACAUCCAUCGACACAAAGCAUGGAUCAUCAAAUAAUUAUACUUAUCUCGGCUAGAGACAAAACAUGAAAAUCUCGUAAGACUAGUCUCUCUUACGUUUUGUUUCUUACGGUGACACGCGUGCCAUUGUUCACGAUAGCGGAAACGCGAACGACGUAAUUACUACAUCUCGCUCGACGAUUACGUGCGAUCCUCGUUUAAAAGGCCAAAAGAGAGAGAGAGAGAGAGAGAGAGAGAGAGAGAGAGAGAGAGAGAGAGAGAGAGAGAGAGAAAUAACUAGAGAAAAGAACACGUUCAGAAAGAAGGCGUCAUCUUAGCACAUUCUUCGACUACUUAAAGCAAACAACCUAAGCAAUUAACAAGCCUAUCCAUAUUAUCAUCGUGAUAACAUUGUCAUUGCUUUGCCGAUUUAGGUAAAUUCUAGCGCAUAAUAUGACCCUCCUCCAUCUUAUUCGACAAUGUUUUUAAGACUUUCUCUUUAUGACAGGCUUGUAAUUACACUUGCACAAUAAU